GACCCAGUGGCGAAGUGGUUUGUAUCCGCUUAUCUUGAGUGAAGAAACUUUAGUGUUUGAGUGGAAGACACUCGUUCGAUUCGGGUCUGGGUCG